AGAGUUUGAUCCUGGCUCAGGACGAACGCUGGCGGCGUGCCUAACACAUGCAAGUCGAACGGACGAGGCCCCUUCGGGGACCGAGUUAGUGGCGGACGGGUGAGUAACGCGUGAGCAACCUGCCUUUCAGAGGGGGACAACAGUUGGAAACGACUGCUAAUACCGCAUGAUGCAGCGAGAUCGCAUGGUCUUGCUGUCAAAGAUUUAUCGCUGAAAGAUGGGCUCGCGUCUGAUUAGCUAGUUGGAGGGGUAACGGCCCACCAAGGCGACGAUCAGUAGCCGGACUGAGAGGUUGAACGGCCACAUUGGGACUGAGAUACGGCCCAGACUCCUACGGGAGGCAGCAGUGGGGAAUAUUGGGCAAUGGGGGAAACCCUGACCCAGCAACGCCGCGUGAAGGAAGAAGGCUUUCGGGUUGUAAACUUCUUUUACCAGGGACGAAGAACGUGACGGUACCUGGAGAAAAAGCCACGGCUAACUACGUGCCAGCAGCCGCGGUAAUACGUAGGUGGCAAGCGUUGUCCGGAUUUACUGGGUGUAAAGGGCGUGUAGGCGGAGCUGCAAGUCAGAUGUGAAAUCUGGGGGCUUAACCCUCAAACUGCAUUUGAAACUGUAGCCCUUGAGUAUCGGAGAGGCAGGCGGAAUUCCUAGUGUAGCGGUGAAAUGCGUAGAUAUUAGGAAGAACACCAGUGGCGAAGGCGGCCUGCUGGACGACAACUGACGCUGAGGCGCGAAAGCGUGGGGAGCAAACAGGAUUAGAUACCCUGGUAGUCCACGCUGUAAACGAUGAAUACUAGGUGUGGGGGGACUGACCCCCUCCGUGCCGGAGUUAACACAAUAAGUAUUCCACCUGGGGAGUACGACCGCAAGGUUGAAACUCAAAGGAAUUGACGGGGGCCCGCACAAGCAGUGGAUUAUGUGGUUUAAUUCGACGCAACGCGAAGAACCUUACCGGGAUUUGACAUCCUACUAACGAAGCAGAGAUGCAUUAGGUGCCCUUCGGGGAAAGUAGAGACAGGUGGUGCAUGGUUGUCGUCAGCUCGUGUCGUGAGAUGUUGGCUUAAGUGCCAUAACGAGCGCAACCCCUCUCCUUAGUUGCCAUCAGGUUAAGCUGGGCACUCUGGGGACACUGCCACCGUAAGGUGUGAGGAAGGUGGGGAUGACGUCAAAUCAGCACGGCCCUUACGUCCGGGGCUACACACGUGUUACAAUGGCAGGUACAGAGAGACGGUUGUACGUAAGUACGAUCAAAUCCUUAAAGCCUGUCUCAGUUCGGACUGGGGUCUGCAACCCGACCCCACGAAGCUGGAUUCGCUAGUAAUCGCGCAUCAGCCAUGGCGCGGUGAAUACGUUCCCGGGCCUUGUGCACACCGCCCGUCAAGCCAUGAAAGCCGGGGGCGCCUAAAGUCCGUGACCGUAAGGAGCGGCCUAGGGCGAAACUGGUAAUUGGGGCUAAGUCGUAACAAGGGUA
rnacentral:rRNA from 1 species